GCAUGAUGUCAUCACUGAUUGACUGAAACCAGAUCGUGAGGACAGGUGUCACUCCUCUUACUCUACAACAGAAUAUAAUAUACUUUAAUUUAAAAUAUUACUGUACAUUUAAGUUAGAUAUUUAAUUUUUUUUUCUGAAUUAAAUGAAAGUGAGACUGAUGAAUGUGUGAUUUUGUAGAAGACACACCUGAGAGCUAUGAUGAUGUCAUGACUAGUGGACUUAACUCUGAUAUCAGAAAAGUGGACACACCAGAGAAUUAUGAUGAUGUCAUUAUUAAUAGACUGAGCUCUCAAGGGGUAACAGAGAGAGUUCAGGAGGAGUAUGAAUGAUGUCAUGAGUGUCAGUGGAAGAUGUGACAAACAGGUU